UACGUAGGGUGCGAGCGUUAAUCGGAAUUACUGGGCGUAAAGCGUGCGCAGGCGGUUCGUUGUGUCGGUGGUGAAAUCCCCGGGCUCAACCUGGGAACUGCAUUUGUGACUGUAGAGCUGGAGUGCGGCAGAGGGGGAUGGAAUUCCGCGUGUAGCAGUGAAAUGCGUAGAUAUGCGGAGGAACACCGAUGGCGAAGGCAAUCCCCUGGGCCUGCACUGACGCUCAUGCACGAAAGCGUGGGGAGCAAACAGG
rnacentral:rRNA from 1 species